UGCAGAUGCCGCUACCGCCGAGGCAGAAUCCUGAGUUUCAGCUCAUCGAAACCAGUCCUCCGUUAGCAGCACGGAGGAGACAAUCUUACUAUUACCGGAGCAGCGGAGACAAAACCUCGAGCACCUACGACCUCGUGGAGCAGAUGCAUUACCUCUACGUCAGCGUCGUGAAGGCUCGAGAUCUCCCUGUGAUGGACGUCUCCGGUAGCUUAGAUCCUUACGUGGAAGUGAAGCUUGGUAACUACAAAGGCCUGACGAAGCAUUUGGAGAAGAAUCAGAACCCGAUCUGGAAGCAGAUCUUCGCCUUCUCUAAAGAGAGGUUGCAGUCGAAUCUUCUUGAAGUCACUGUUAAAGACAAAGAUCUCAUCACCAAAGAUGAUUUUGUCGGAAGGGUGUUGAUCGAUCUCACUGAAGUUCCUCUGAGAGUUCCUCCGGAUAGUCCUCUUGCUCCACAGUGGUACAGGCUUGAGGACAAGAAAGGGAUGAAGACGAACAGAGGAGAGGUCAUGCUUGCUGUCUGGAUGGGAACUCAAGCUGAUGAGUCGUUCCCUGACGCUUGGCACUCGGAUGCUCACCGCGUGAGCCAUUCGAACCUUUCCAACACUCGGUCCAAAGUUUACUUCUCGCCGAAGCUGUAUUACCUAAGGAUUCAUGUGAUGGAGGCUCAAGAUCUUGUGCCGUCUGAUAAAGGAAGAGUACCUGAUGCGAUAGUUAAGAUUCAGGCGGGGAAUCAGAUGAGAGCGACGAGGACGCCUCAGAUGCGGACAAUGAGUCCUCAGUGGGGGGAGGAGCUUAUGUUUGUUGUGUCUGAGCCGUUUGAGGAUAUGGUGAUUGUGUCGGUUGAUGAUAGGAUUGGUCCUGGGAAAGAUGAGAUACUGGGGAGGUUGUUUAUACCUGUGAGGGAUGUUCCGGUGAGGCAAGAGACUGGGAAGAUGCCUGAUCCACGGUGGUUUAAUCUCCAGAGACAUUCGAUGUCUAUGGAGGAAGAGACUGAGAAGAAGAAAGAGAAGUUCUCUAGUAAGAUUCUGCUUAGGCUUUGUAUUGAAGCUGGGUACCAUGUUCUUGAUGAGUCCACGCAUUUCAGCAGCGAUCUUCAACCGUCUUCAAAGCAUUUGAGGAAGCCGAGCAUUGGGCUUCUUGAGCUUGGGAUUCUCAGUGCUAGGAACUUGAUGCCUAUGAAAGCUAAAGAUGGGAGGAUGACUGAUCCCUACUGUGUGGCUAAAUAUGGGAACAAAUGGGUGAGAACGAGGACUCUUUUAGACGCGCUUGCACCUAAGUGGAACGAGCAAUAUACCUGGGAAGUUCAUGAUCCUUGCACGGUUAUAACAAUUGGAGUCUUUGACAAUGGUCAGACCAACGAUGGUGGUGACUCCAAGGACCAGAGGAUUGGGAAAGUUAGAGUGAGGCUAUCUACGCUGGAGACAGACCGGGUUUACACUCAUUACUACCCGUUGCUGGUUCUUACGCCCGGUGGUCUAAAGAAGAACGGUGAGCUUCAGCUAGCUCUGAGGUACACUUGCAUCUCCUUUGUUAACAUGAUGGCUCAAUACGGAAGACCGUUGUUGCCCAAAAUGCAUUAUAAAACCAAAUGAUUCAUAUGCUGGAGUAAUAAUCAAGAAUAUUCAACACUUUUUCAUUUGAAUAUUCAAAACAAAUGAUUUCGUUGCUAUCUAUUUCUACAAAUGAUUUUGAUAUAUAAAAAAGUAGUAAUAAUACAAUAAAAUAGUUAAAUUUGGGAGGAAUCGAAAAAUGAAUAAAUGACGUCUUCCUCUUGACUUCUGUCUGAAUGCCCCGAGUUUUACUACUCCUCUUUAACACAUCAUCGCUUGUUUUUUUAACAAAAAUAAAAAAUAAAAAUCAAAGAUGAUAAGUUGUUUCAUCUCUCCUCUUCUCUCCUCAUAACUCUUGUUUCAAUUCAAAUCAGUUGUACCACCGAGUCUUUCUUUGCCGGACGUUUUGCCUCUAAACACCGACUUCAAGAAACUCCAAAAAAAUAAUUCCGAUAUGAGCAAACUAGUCGUUGAAAUCGUGGACGCGAGCGACUUGAUGCCCAAAGACGGGCAAGGGUCAGCGAGUCCAUUCGUGGAGGUUGAAUUCGACGACCAGCGGCAGAGAACGCAAACGCGGUUCAAAGAUCUAAACCCUCAGUGGAACGAGAAGCUAGUUUUCAACGUCGGUGACUUGAGGCGUUUGACCAACAAGACCAUCGACGUCACCGUCUACGACGACCGCCGUGAUAACCAGCCGGGAAAGUUCCUUGGCCGCGUAAAAAUCUCCGGCGCGGUUGUUCCGUUAUCGGAAUCUGAAGGCGAUGUGCAGAGGUAUCCACUAGACAAACGAGGUUUGUUCUCUCACAUCAAAGGCGAUAUCGCUCUUAGAAUCUACGCCGCUCCUGUCGACGGCUCAGAUUUCAUUCCUCCGCCGGCAGAGAAGGAGAGCAAGGAGGAGCCUCAGGAGGAGUUUCAUAAUCAAAACCAAAACCAAAACUCAUUCGAAGAGGUUUACGUGGAGACGAUGAAGCCGAAGAAGAAAGAGAAAGAAACAAGAACUUUCCACUCGAUCGGAGCUGAGCAAUCGUUUGAAGCAAAGCCGCCUUCGCACCUUCCUCCUAACCAACCGGAGUUUAGGUCAGAUUUCAUGAGAGCUCCGGGACCACCGCCCGGCGCCGUGAUGCAGAUGCCACUACCACCGAGACAGAAUCCUGAGUUUCAGCUCAUCGAAACCAGUCCUCCGUUAGCAGCUCGGAGGCGACAGUCGUACUAUUACCGGAGCAGCGGAGACAAAACCUCGAGCACCUACGACCUCGUGGAGCAGAUGCAUUACCUCUACGUCAGCGUGGUCAAGGCUCGAGAUCUCCCCGUGAUGGACGUCUCCGGUAGCUUAGAUCCUUACGUGGAAGUGAAGCUUGGCAA
rnacentral:lncRNA from 1 species